rnacentral:rRNA from 1 species
AGAGAGCUUGCUCUCGGGUGACGAGUGGCGGACGGGUGAGUAAUGUCUGGGGAUCUGCCCGAUAGAGGGGGAUAACCACUGGAAACGGUAGCUAAUACCGCAUAACGUCGCAAGACCAAAGAGGGGGACCUUCGGGCCUCUUGCCAUCAGAUGUGCCCAGAUGGGAUUAGCUAGUAGGUGGGGUAACGGCCCACCUAGGCGACGAUCCCUAGCUGGUCUGAGAGGAUGACCAGCCACACUGGAACUGAGACACGGUCCAGACUCC